UGAUUGAGAGCUGGAUACUGGCCCAGUGACCAGGGAGAAAUGAGGUCGUGGGAUCACGUCCAUGACUCAUAACAGCACACAAACCAACAGCCACUCUCAAACAACAACUCACCAGAACGAAGGACCCGAUACCCAGCAUGAGCAAAACCAAUGUAGUGUACAAAAUCCCAUGCAAGGACUGCACAAAACACUACAUAGGACAAACAGGAAGACAGCUAACGAUCCACAUCCAUGAACACCAACUAGCCACGAAACGACAUGACCAGCUAUCCUUAGUAGCCACACACGCAGAUGACUAGCAAUUCGACUCAGACAACACUACUAUUAUUGGACAAGCCAAACAGAGAACAGCCGGGGAAUUCCUAGAGGCAUGGCACUCAUCCACAGAUUCUAUCAACAAACACAUCGACCUGGACCCAAUAUACCGGUCACUGCAGCGGACAGCUGGAACUGACAACCGGAAGCGGCAGAGACAAACCACUAUAAAUGCCGGAGGAAACAUCACAGAAGCGCUUCACAGGAGGCUUCCAAGUACUGAGGAUGUCACCUAAGACAGGGGACGAAACAUCUGCAACACAACUUCCCAGCUCGGCGAACAGAACCACAACAACGAGCACCCGAGCUACAAAUCUUCUCCCAAACUUUAUCCUUCAAUCUCCAUUCCAAACAAAAAUACAGGAUAUCUGGCCAUUAUCACAUCACUGCUUAUGGAUAAUGUGCACAAAUUAGCUGCUAUGCUUUCUACAGUGACUGUGUGCUGCAAAAGUACUCGGCUGUAUAGGGCUUUGGGGAUGUUCUCAAAGAUGAUGAAAUUAAAUAAAUAAAUGCACUUGAAUAAAGUCCACACAA